CUCACCCUGUUGGGCUCCCCUCCCAGUGCAGAGCCUGAAAUCCAAGAGUAAACAGAUCCUUUUCAUCUAGAGGAAGAACACCAACAUGGUGCUGCCCAGGCUGCUGAAGCUGGUCAUGGUGUCUGUGUGGCUGGGAUCCAGUUUUGCCCAGAAUGUGACUCAGGCCCAGCCAGCCAUGUGGGUGCAGGAGAAGGAGGCUGUGAGCCUGCUCUGCUCCUAUGACACCAGUACUGUAAGUUACGAUCUCCUCUGGUACAAGCAGCCCAGCAGUGGGGAGAUGGACUUCCUCAUCCUUCAGAACUCUUACAGCCAGCAAAAUGCCACAAAAGGUCGCUACUCAGUGAAUUUGCAGAAGGCAAGCAAAUCCAUCCAGCUUGUCAUCUCAGCCUCACAGCUGGGGGACUCAGCGGUGUAUUUCUGUGCACUGAGAGAGGGCACAGUGGGAGGACUGUUGGAGGGAGGUGCACAAAAACCCAGGGUCUGCCUGAGACAGCCACCUGCUGUAGGGACCAAGGCAGGGAAUGGCCACCCCAGAUAG